rnacentral:rRNA from 1 species
UUAAGUUAGAAAGGGCGCACGGUGGAUGCCUUGACACUAGGAGUCGAUGAAGGACGGGACUAACGCCGAUAUGCUUCGGGGAGCUGUAAGUAAGCUUUGAUCCGAAGAUUUCCGAAUGGGGAAACCCACCAUACGUAAUGGUAUGGUAUCCUUAUCUGAAUACAUAGGGUAAGGAAGACAGACCCAGGGAACUGAAACAUCUAAGUACCUGGAGGAAGAGAAAGCAAAUGCGAUUUCCUGAGUAGCGGCGAGCGAAACGGAACAUAGCCCAAACCAAGAGGCUUGCCUCUUGGGGUUGUAGGACAUUCUAUACGGAGUUACAAAGGAACGAGGUAGACGAAGCGACCUGGAAAGGUCCGUCGUAGAGGGUAACAACCCCGUAGUCGAAACUUCGUUCUCUCUUGAAUGUAUCCUGAGUACGGCGGAACACGUGAAAUUCCGUCGGAAUCUGGGAGGACCAUCUCCCAAGGCUAAAUACUCCCUAGUGAUCGAUAGUGAACCAGUACCGUGAGGGAAAGGUGAAAAGCACCCCGGAAGGGGAGUGAAAGAGAUCCUGAAACCGUGUGCCUACAAAUAGUCAGAGCCCGUUAACGGGUGAUGGCGUGCCUUUUGUAGAAUGAACCGGCGAGUUACGAUCCCGUGCGAGGUUAAGCUGAAGAGGCGGAGCCGCAGCGAAAGCGAGUCUGAAUAGGGCGUUUAGUACGUGGUCGUAGACCCGAAACCAGGUGAUCUACCCAUGUCCAGGGUGAAGUUCAGGUAACACUGAAUGGAGGCCCGAACCCACGCACGUUGAAAAGUGCGGGGAUGAGGUGUGGGUAGCGGAGAAAUUCCAAUCGAACCUGGAGAUAGCUGGUUCUCCCCGAAAUAGCUUUAGGGCUAGCCUUAAGUGUAAGAGUCUUGGAGGUAGAGCACUGAUUGGACUAGGGGUCCUCAUCGGAUUACCGAAUUCAGUCAAACUCCGAAUGCCAAUGACUUAUCCUUAGGAGUCAGACUGCGAGUGAUAAGAUCCGUAGUCAAAAGGGAACAGCCCAGACCGCCAGCUAAGGUCCCAAAGUGUGUAUUAAGUGGAAAAGGAUGUGGAGUUGCUUAGACAACUAGGAUGUUGGCUUAGAAGCAGCCACCAUUUAAAGAGUGCGUAAUAGCUCACUAGUCGAGUGACUCUGCGCCGAAAAUGUACCGGGGCUAAAUACACCACCGAAGCUGCGGAUUGAUACCAAUGGUAUCAGUGGUAGGGGAGCGUUCUAAGGACAGUGAAGUCAGACCGGAAGGACUGGUGGAGUGCUUAGAAGUGAGAAUGCCGGUAUGAGUAGCGAAAGACGGGUGAGAAUCCCGUCCACCGAAUGCCUAAGGGUUCCUGAGGAAGGCUCGUCCGCUCAGGGUUAGUCAGGACCUAAGCCGAGGCCGACAGGCGUAGGCGAUGGACAACAGGUUGAUAUUCCUGUACCACCUCUUUAUCGUUUGAGCAAUGGAGGGACGCAGAAGGAUAGAAGAAGCGUGCGACUGGUUGUGCACGUCCAAGCAGUUAGGCUGAUAAGUAGGCAAAUCCGCUUAUCGUGAAGGCUGAGCUGUGAUGGGGAAGCUCCUUAUGGAGCGAAGUCUUUGAUUCCCCGCUGCCAAGAAAAGCUUCUAGCGAGAUAAAAGGUGCCUGUACCGCAAACCGACACAGGUAGGCGAGGAGAGAAUCCUAAGGUGUGCGAGAGAACUCUGGUUAAGGAACUCGGCAAAAUGACCCCGUAACUUCGGGAGAAGGGGUGCUUUCUUAACGGAAAGCCGCAGUGAAUAGGCCCAAGCGACUGUUUAGCAAAAACACAGCUCUCUGCGAAGCCGUAAGGCGAAGUAUAGGGGGUGACACCUGCCCGGUGCUGGAAGGUUAAGGAGAGGGGUUAGCGUAAGCGAAGCUCUGAACUGAAGCCCCAGUAAACGGCGGCCGUAACUAUAACGGUCCUAAGGUAGCGAAAUUCCUUGUCGGGUAAGUUCCGACCCGCACGAAAGGUGUAACGAUUUGGGCACUGUCUCAACCAGAGACUCGGUGAAAUUAUAGUACCUGUGAAGAUGCAGGUUACCCGCGACAGGACGGAAAGACCCCGUGGAGCUUUACUGUAGCCUGAUAUUGAAUUUUGGUACAGUUUGUACAGGAUAGGCGGGAGCCUUUGAAACCGGAGCGCUAGCUUCGGUGGAGGCGCUGGUGGGAUACCGCCCUGACUGUAUUGAAAUUCUAACCUACGGGUCUUAUCGACCCGGGAGACAGUGUCAGGUGGGCAGUUUGACUGGGGCGGUCGCCUCCUAAAGUGUAACGGAGGCGCCCAAAGGUUCCCUCAGAAUGGUUGGAAAUCAUUCGUAGAGUGCAAAGGCAUAAGGGAGCUUGACUGCGAGACCUACAAGUCGAGCAGGGACGAAAGUCGGGCUUAGUGAUCCGGUGGUUCCGCAUGGAAGGGCCAUCGCUCAACGGAUAAAAGCUACCCCGGGGAUAACAGGCUUAUCUCCCCAAGAGUCCACAUCGACGGGGAGGUUUGGCACCUCGAUGUCGGCUCAUCGCAUCCUGGGGCUGUAGUCGGUCCCAAGGGUUGGGCUGUUCGCCCAUUAAAGCGGUACGCGAGCUGGGUUCAGAACGUCGUGAGACAGUUCGGUCCCUAUCCGUCGUGGGCGUAGGAAAUUUGAGAGGAGCUGUCCUUAGUACGAGAGGACCGGGAUGGACGCACCGCUGGUGUACCAGUUGUUCUGCCAAGGGCAUAGCUGGGUAGCUAUGUGCGGAAGGGAUAAGUGCUGAAAGCAUCUAAGCAUGAAGCCCCCCUCAAGAUGAGAUUUCCCAUAGCGUAAGCUAGUAAGAUCCCUGAAAGAUGAUCAGGUUGAUAGGUUCGAGGUGGAAGCAUGGUGACAUGUGGAGCUGACGAAUACUAAUAGAUCGAGGACUUAACCAU